CCUACGGGAGGCAGCAGUCGAGAAUCAUUCACAAUGAGGGAAACCCUGAUGGUGCGACGCCGCGUGGGGGAAUGAAGGUCUUCGGAUUUUAAACCCCUGUCAUGUGGGAGCAAAUUAAAAAGAUAGUACCACAAGAGGAAGAGACGGCUAACUCUGUGCCAGCAGCCGCGGUAAUACAGAGGUCUCAAGCGUUGUUCGGAAUCACGGGGCGUAAAGCGUGCGUAGGCUGUUUCGUAAGUCGUGUGUGAAAGGCGCGGGCUCAACCCGCGGACGGCACAUGAUACUGCGAGACUAGAGUAAUGGAGGGGGAACCGGAAUUCUCGGUGUAGCAGUGAAAUGCGUAGAUAUCGAGAGGAACACUCGUGGCGAAGGCGGGUUCCUGGACAUUAACUGACGCUGAGGCACGAAGGCCAGGGGAGCGAAAGGGAUUAGAUACCCCAGUAGUC
rnacentral:rRNA from 1 species